CACUCCCGAGGGGACGGUCUCCCGCCCGCCCUCACACACAGCUAGCUCUUCAGGCCAGGCCCCCAGGGUUUCGUCCACCUCUCACCUUUGACGACGCGAAUGAAGAAUGAGGAGGUGCUGCGAUCGAACGACUGCGAGGAAACACACCCGCUCUCAUGGCAUUCCCAGUAAACUGAGAAGACGUGAUUAAACCUCAGGAUCUCCUACUAAUAGAGAAAUGUAUAACGAUUUAGCUACCAGAUCUGAAUACUGAAGGGUUGGUAGGGGACCAGAGAAUAGAGGAAGCAUUGUAGGUUCUAGAGUGGAGAAGGGACCAUCCAAAAUGGAGUUUGAAAGAGAAUUCUGGCCUUUGUGUUUAGAGUCUGGAAUUGUCAAGAGUCUGAAAGCACAGAAUAAGACUGCAGCUAGAGCAAUUUAGGCGCCAUAGUUUGUCAAAACAGGUAAGGGGAAUAAAGGGGAUGACACCAAGAGAUGUGCAAAGAAUCUGAAGAAUUCACCUGAAAAGGAUACAACCUCCUCCUGGAAGGCAGAGGAGUAAAUAGGGAAUUGGAAAUUAAUUCCUUAUUUCUGCACAUGCACAGAAUCUGGGCCCAGGUGACUUAUGGAACCUUUAUAGAGACCACGGUGACUGACACUCAUGGGAAAGGGGGUAGAGGGGCAAGAACUGACUGUUCAUCAAAAAUUAUUAGAUGAGUGUGUCCACGACACCAGGAGAUAUGUUGAAUCAUGGACAGGGACCAGCAUAUCCACUAAGCUCUAUAUAUCUUGAUGGUGCAGGAUCCAAGUGGGAUGGAACAACCAAUUCCUGCCCAUCCUCCUGCUCAAUAAUACAUGUGCUCAGAAUCUGUUCAUAAUGCAUGGUGAGACGGGAUCUCACUGUGUUGCCCAGGCUGGUCUCGAACUGCUGGACUCAAGUCAUCCUCCCAUCUUGGCCUCCCAAAGUGCUGGAAUUACAGUGGACAACCUUCAAUGCACUGGUACUUUGUACCCUGACCUCUACUGUGAUGAACACUCAACUUGGGCAAGGAAGUGAAAUUCUCCAAAGGCCCAGCACCUUAGCACCUGAGGCUGCUACCUGAGAAGUACGCACUGUUCUGGCUUCAUGGAGACCAUGCUCCAUUUCUGCUGUUGAAGUCUUUGAGAGACCAGGAUCAUGGGCUGAGUGCAACCUCCUCCCCAUGCCAUCUGCAGAGCCUGAAGAGGAAAACACAAAUACAAGUUGAGGCCAUCUCUUCCCCUAGGGCCUAACCUCUAAGCCUAGCAGCACAAACUCAGGAGCUGUUGUUUCAUUUAAUAAUAAAUAUGCAUCCUUGAAUUCAACGGAG
rnacentral:lncRNA from 1 species